rnacentral:sRNA from 1 species
UGACUGUUUUCUAUCAACUGUGACGGU